rnacentral:rRNA from 1 species
UGGGGAAUAUUGCACAAUGGAGGGAACUCUGAUGCAGCGACGCCGCGUGAGUGAUGAAGGACUUCGUUUCGUAAAACUCUGUUCUAUGGGAAGAAAAGGACUGUACUAUAGGAGAAAGCUCCGGCUAAAUACGUGCCAGCAGCCGCGGUAAUACGUAUGGGGCGAGCGUUGUCCGGAAUUAUUGGGCGUAAAGUGUGCGCAGGCGGCUUUACAAGUUGGAUGUGAAAUAUUGUGGCUCAACCACAAACGUGCAUCCAAAAAUGCAAAGCUUGAGUUAAGGAGAGGUAAGUGGAAUUCCUGGUGUAGCUGUGGAAUGCGUAGAUAUCAGGAGGAAUACCGGUGGCGAAGGCGACUUACUGGCCUUAAACUGACGCUCAGGCACGAAAGCGUGGGGAGCAAACAGG